AUGAGGCCCGGGGCCGAGUUCGUCACCAUGAGCCACCGCGCGGGAGCGCCGACGGCGGCGCCGGGGCAUGGGCUGAUGAACGGGACGGCGGCGCCGCAUUCGACGUGGCAGUCACCGGUGCCGUACCUGUUCGGCGGGCUGGCGGCCAUGCUGGGGCUCAUCGCCCUGGCGCUGCUCAUCCUGGCGUGCUCCUACUGGAAGCUCUCCGGGUACCUCGACGGCGACCGGGACGGCCAGGCGGCGGGGGACGCCGACGGGGAGAAGGGCUCGGCGUCUGGCGCGGCCAGGCCGGCCAUGGAUUUUCUCGAGCACGUGGUGGUCAUCAUGGCCGGCGACGAGCGGCCCACGUUCCUCGCCAAGCCGGUCACCAGCCGGGCCGCCGAAGCGGAGCUCGCGGCCGCAACGGCUCCUGAGGCGAGCCCGCGCGCCGGCGACGACGGGCAGGAGAAGAAGGUGGACGAGCAGGGCUGCGAGGUGAUCUCGCAGCUCGGAGGCGACCCCGCCGACUCGGCGAGCCGGAGCCGCGACCGCCAAGACGCGGCGAGCCACAGCCAUGACAACCACCACCACCAUGACCAUGAGAGCAGCAGCACGACGGCACUACAAGAAAGCUCGCAAUAA
rnacentral:rRNA from 1 species